ACAAUGUAACAAACGCCGGACGGGUGAGUAAUGUCUGGGAUACUGCCUGAUGCAGGCGGAUAACUACUGGAAACGGAAGCUAAUACCGCAUAACCUCGCAAGACCAAAGUGGGGGACCUUCGGGCCUCAUGCCAUCAGAUGUGCCCAGAUGGGAUUAGCUGGUAGGUGGGGUAACGGCUCACCUAGGCGACGAUCCCUAGCUGGUCUGAGAGGAUGACCAGCCACACUGGAACUGAGACACGGUCCAGACUCCUACGGGAGGCAGCAGUGGGGAAUAUUGCACAAUGGGGGCAAGCCUGAUGCAGCCAUGCCGCGUGUGUGAAGAAGGCCUUCGGGUUGUAAAGCACUUUCAGCGGCGAGGAAGGCGGUGAGGUUAAUAACCUUGUCGAUUGACGUUACCCGCAGAAGAAGCACCGGCUAACUCCGUGCCAGCAGCCGCGGUAAUACGGACGGUGCAAGCGUUAAUCGGAAUUACUGGGCGUAAAGCGCACGCAGGCGGUCUGUCAAGUCGGAUGUGAAAUCGCCGGGCUCAACCUGGGAACUGCAUUCGAAACUGGCAGGCUAGAGUCUUGUAGAGGGGGGUAGAAUUCCAGGUGUAGCGGUGAAAUGCGUAGAGAUCUGGAGGAAUACCGGUGGCGAUGGCGGCCCCCUGGACAAAGACUGACGCUCAGGUGCGAAAGCGUGGGGAGCAAACAGGAUUAGAUACCCUGGUAGUCCACGCCGUAAACGAUGUCGAUUUGGAGGUUGUGCGCUUGAGGCGUGGCUUCCGGAGCUAACGCGUUAAAUCGACCGCCUGGGGAGUACGGCCGCAAGGUUAAAACUCAAAUGAAUUGACGGGGGCCCGCACAAGCGGUGGAGCAU
rnacentral:rRNA from 1 species